AAUUUUGGACAAUGUGGGCAACCCUGAUCCAGCCAUCCCGCGUGUGCGAUGAAGGCCUUCUGGGUGUAAAGCACUUUUGGCAGGGAAGAAAAGGCUGUGGCUAAUACCUGGAGCUACUGACGGGAUCUCCAGAAUAAGCACCGGCUAACUACGUGCCAGCAGCCGCGGUAAUACGUAGGGUAUAAGCGUUAAUGGGAAUUACUGGGCAUAAAGCGUGCGCAGGCGGUUCGGCAAGAAGGAUGUGAAAUCCCAGGGCUUAACCUUGGAACUGCAUUCUUAACUGCCGGGCUAGAGUAUGUCAGAGAGGGGUAGAAUUCCGCGUGUAGCAGUGAAAUGCGUAGAGAUGCGGAGGAAUACCGAUGGCGAAGGCAGCCCCCUGGGAUAAUACUGACGCUCAUGCACGAAAGCGUGGGGAGCAAAC
rnacentral:rRNA from 1 species